rnacentral:rRNA from 1 species
UACGUAGGGUGCAAGCGUUAAUCGGAAUUACUGGGCGUAAAGCGUGCGCAGGCGGUUUUGUAAGCCAGAUGUGAAAUCCCCGGGCUUAACCUGGGAAUGGCAUUUGGGACUGCAAGGCUGGAGUGCGGCAGAGGAGACUGGAAUUCCUGGUGUAGCAGUGAAAUGCGUAGAUAUCAGGAGGAGCACCGGUGGCGAAGGCGGUGAUCUGGGCCGACACUGACGCUGUAGAGCGAAAGCGUGGGGAGCGAACAGGAUUGAGAUACC